CGUAGGUGGCAAGCGUUGUCCGGAUUUAUUGGGUUUAAAGGGUGCGUAGGCGGUCUUGUAAGUCAGUGGUGAAAUACGGCAGCUUAACUGUCGAGAUGCCAUUGAUACUGCAGGACUUGAGUACAGACGAGGUAGGCGGAAUUGACGGUGUAGCGGUGAAAUGCUUAGAUAUCGUCAAGAACACCGAUAGCGAAGGCAGCUUACUAGACUGUAACUGACGCUGAUGCACGAGAGUGUGGGGAUCAAACGGGAUUAGAUACCCUGGUAGUCCACACUGUAAACGAUGAUUACUCGAUGUUGGCGAUACACAGCCAGCGUCUUAGCGAAAGCGAUAAGUAAUCCACCUGGGGAGUACGCCGGCAACGGUG
rnacentral:rRNA from 1 species